rnacentral:tRNA from 2 species
GGAUCGCUAGCUCAAUUGGUAGAGCAGCUGACUCUUAAUCAGCGGGUUACAGGUUCGAGUCCUGUGCGAUCCACCA